CUGGUUCCAGAAUGCAUAGACAAACUUGCACAAGCAGGUCUGGAGAUAUGGCUUCUCACUGGCGACAAAAAAGAGACUGCAAUCAACGUUGGGUGAGACUAAGUUAUUGACUUGAACAAUCGCUAUUACUUGUAGUAGUCUCAACUCUUAAGUACAGUGUGUGUCAAAAAGGGAGCAUGGGCUACUGUAUUUAGUGUUAUACUUUCCUUGGGGCUGAACUAUUUAAUUCAUGAUUUUACUAUCUUCCUUGGAUCUAUUAGAUUCACUUGCAGUUUAUUUCGGAACGAUAUGAAACAGUUUCACUUGGGUUUGAGCAAAGAAGCUGAAUCAAACAGUCAAGGCAAUGAAAGUUGAGAUUCUACAUCAAAUUCAAGAUUCUUACCAAAUGACUUGUGAUGAAUUCCACAAGGAUAUGUUCCUUUUGCUUUGGUGAUAGAUGGGAAAGCGCUUGAAAUUGCUUUGGGAAGUGACAUGAAGGACCGAUUCUCUUACAGUUGGCAGUUAAUUGCUCUUCUGUCAUAUGCUGCCGCGUAUCCCCAAAGUAGAAAGCUUUUGUACGACAAAAGUAUUCAACUUCAAUUAGCAUUUGUUACUGUUUCAAUGAACUUUGGGGGCUUAAACGAAGCAGCGAAGCUAUAGGGCCAUCACCUUUGUAGUGGAAUGUCACUUUGCUUGUGGUGGUGGUCUUCUACCGUAUUUCCUCCACCUCAUAGUCCAACGGUUGUUUUAUCCAACGGAUGAUCAAGUUAUCCAAGAAAUGAAGCACUGCAGAAAAGACAGUAAGGAUACUGAAAUGUGGGCGAGGGAACUACACAACUCCAGGAGGACAAAUCAAAUCGGGUUUUCGGCUAGAGUUGACGUGAAGAUAUCUUCCUUGAGGGAACAGUUGCACCAAAAGAAGACAUCACUAUAUAAAUCUGUAACAAGCAAUCCAAUUUUCUGUUACCGAACAAAUAUAUAUAGUAACAAAAAAAGACAGCAGCUUACCGCGAAGUCGCACGUUCUCAUUGUCAAAUGAGAGAGAAGA